rnacentral:lncRNA from 1 species
ACGAAACACAAUGCUGCGACUUGUUGCACGUUUAAAAAAAAAUACGGACGGAGGAGAUUCAAGCUGGCCCCAGGAUAAAAGCUGUGUAGAAUGAUCAGAGGAAACGAACAGAACAAGCUGUUGCGGCCCACCAAGAGCUGUCAGGAAAAACUGCUGAUACUAUCCGUUUAUCUGAUCUAUAACUACAAGUGCGCUGUAUUCCAACAUUGAGUUUGGUCAGUACCGGUCCUCGCUUUUCAGCUUCUCUCUAACCAGAUGAUCGUCAAAAACAGCAAAAAGUCCUAUUUUGUGGAGUAUUUCAAUAUCAAAUGAAAAAAGAAAAAAAAAUUUUUCAAUACUUAUAAAAAAAAAGUUUAAAAUUUAUUCAAAAGAGAAAAAAAAAUGUUUUAAACACUUUAAAAUUUCCAUGAACAGUGUAAAAGUGAAAGAUAUCUAAAAAAAAAAAAUACAUUUUAUCAAAUUUCCAUUGUCCACUUAUUGGAAAUUUUGCAGUGAAAUUUUUGGAUAGCCGAAAUUUACCAACAUUCAGAAGAAGUUACGAAAGCUCGAUUGAAUAAAAUUUUUCGAAGAUUUUCGAAGAUUCUCUUCACCAUUCGUCAUAGGAGAAGGUUUUUAUUUCUGUAUGCUUUUGCUUGCAUCAAUUCUAUUCGGUGAGAAGAGGAAACUCAAAAUGAUGGAGGAUGUUGAUCAAUGAUUUGCUGUAUAGUCAAGAAGCGGAGAAAAACUUCCUUGAAGAAUGGUGUAAAGAAAAAAGGAAGAAUUUUCAACAACUGAUAGAUUCCCAAGUACGAAUAAUUCAUGUGUAUUUAAGUCGUUUUCCGAAAAUUUUCGUGGGUUUACUAUUGAAAGAAUCCUCUGCUGUUUGAUCCCGGACGACGGACGUGUAUGAGGAAGAGACACUUAAUGAAUUAACCAAAUUUUUUAUUGUUGUACAGUAAAGUAUAACGAUGAUGACUGUAAGUACUGCUGUGCUCCAUGUGUAAUACUAAGCGGUACCAUGGUCAUACAUUUGUACGAAUUUUUGUCAGGAGUUGUGUAGUCUGAGAUCAAUCCCGCCUCACUGCACCGUUAUGGAUUGAUGUAGUCUGUUGCUAUACAGAACACUUCAAUGCUGCACACUAUUAUGGAUUGUUAUAACCAACUGCUGCAUUAGGCAGAAACAGUCUGACCUUCACUGUAUGGGCAGUUGUUAACUUCGAUUAAUUCCUGUUCGGCCCAGUAUAGACUGUUGAAAUCGAUACAAUUUUAUCUACCCCGUUAAAAUUGGCCGCUGUAAUAGAUCGAUACUGUCUCAACGAAAAUAACUAGGUGCGCAACAAAAACAUAACUUCAUAUUCGGAAAUCAGAAAUAGCUGCAUUUACAGGAAAAUCAGCCAAUCUCACAAAAGUAGUUGCAAACACGUGGUAAAAAUAGUAACGUAACACAAUACAAGACAGUUAUACGCACGACAUCAGAAUCAGUUAAAUAUCCGACAACAAACUUCCAUACUCAACAAAAGCUGCAACCACACACUCACACAGGCAGAUAAGCACAUAAGCACACACAAACACACACAAAACCACCACCGACAACAACAACAAAACUAGUUACAUGCUGAAUAAAAAAAACGAUUACUUUAUGCAAGGUGGUAAAAAUAGAUUCAUGGCAGUAUGAAAAAGUAUCGAUAGAAAUGAAAGCGUUUAGGGAUAAUAAUGAAAAGCAAAAACUACAUGUACAGGUUUUUGGUUAAUAGAAGUAGUAACAGAAACCAGAUUUGUUAAGGUCAGUCCGGUUUAUUUGUUUAAAAGAUUAAUUAUAAUUGAAAGUAUUGUACGUCAGUGAUUUCAGGUCCCAGCAUUGGGUAUAGUUCUUGAUUUUUUUUAUAUAUAUAUUUCAAUAAUUAAUACAGAACUGAGUUUAAAUUCCGUUAGAUGAAAAAUAAUUAUUCUUUUAAUUAUUAUCGAAGUAAUUACACAUAGAAGUCGUUAGUCCAGCAGUGGGUAUAGCUCUUGAUUUUUUUAUACAGAAAUAUUUCAACAAUAACUAUAUAAUUGAGUUUAUAUUCUGUUAGAAUAGUUAUUUUUCUUAGUCUUUUCUAAUGUUUAACAUGGUCUUCAGUCUUAUCGUACAUCAGUUUCAAAAAAGCAUUGGAAUAAAGGCUUAGUAAAGACCUAUAAAUUCUUCCGAAAACUUUAGCCUUCCUUCAGUGUAAGUUGACCAUCUCUUAUGUAGACACCCAUAAAAUACUGCUUAGUUUAUAGAAACAAUUAUUUGCACGAUCGAAUAGUAUCUUUGGAAUAGUCUUUAAAUAAUGAUUGCUUCCUAUAUUACACGCAGCAACGUUCAGUGAGAUCAAAAAUAUAAUUCCUUCAACAAGAACAGUUCAUACUGGCAAAUGAUACCGAAGAAAUUUCUCCUUUAUGAUUUGAUCGUUCGCAACAACAGACGGACCAAAUGUGUGUGCACACCAAGGACACGAACGGCUGACAAUAGAAAAUACCAACUGAAUCUGCGCACGACAACGGUAAGCUAUUUUGACGGGUUUCGUGACAGACGAGCAUGAAAUAUGUAUUUGUUCGUUGUCGACGAAACCUGCCUGAAAUAGCCAACCAAGACACGAUUAAAAACAAACCAAGAGACUGAAUCUAAGAGCAGCCUAAGAUCACCAAUCGAUGCCAACUAACGUUCAACUAUUUUCACCUUUUGGAAUAAAAAAGAAAAGAAUUAAAAAUUUAAAUUUAAAAGUAUUCAAAUUUUAGUUUGAUUUCUCACCACGUACAAAUGAAACGUUAAAAAUCUUUAUUUUUUUUUUAUGUGGUGAGCGCCAUAAAACAAACGGCAACCUGAGUCGUUUCAGUUUCUGUCUUCGAUUGAAGAAUUAUUUCAUUCAUGUUCUUAUUACUAUUGAAGAAAAACAUGAACAUCACAAUUUCCCAAUUCUCUUUUCCUUUGUAUCUAAGCAAAAUAAACCAAAACCUAACGCCAGUGUGUGUUAGUACAACAUGAGGUAAGCUCCUUGCAAUUCGAGUCA